UAGGGAAUCUUCCGCAAUGGGCGAAAGCCUGACGGAGCAACGCCGCGUGAGUGAUGAAGGUCUUCGGAUCGUAAAACUCUGUUAUUAGGGAAGAACAAAUGUGUAAGUAACUAUGCACGUCUUGACGGUACCUAAUCAGAAAGCCACGGCUAAUUACGUGCCAGCAGCCGCGGUAAUACGUAGGUGGCAAGCGUUAUCCGGAAUGAUUGGGCGUAAAGCGCGCGUAGGCGGUUUUUUAAGUCUGAUGUGAAAGCCCACGGCUCAACCGUGGAGGGUCAUUGAACACUGGAAAACUUGAGUGCAGAAGAGGAAAGUGGAAUUCCAUGUGUAGCGGUGAAAUGCGCAGAGAUAUGGAGGAACACCAGUUGCGAAGGCGACUUUCUGGUCUGUAACUCACGCUGAUGUGCGAAAGCGUGGAGAUCAAACAGG
rnacentral:rRNA from 1 species